rnacentral:rRNA from 1 species
GCAUAUCAAUAAGCGGAGGAAAAGAAACUAACAAGGAUUCCCCUAGUAACUGCGAGUGAAGCGGGAUGAGCUCAAAUUUAAAAUCGGGUAGCUUUGCUGCUUGAGUUGUAAUCUAGAGAAGCAUUUUCUGUGUUGGACCGUGUACAAGUCUCUUGGAAUAGAGCGUCAUAGAGGGUGAGAAUCCCGUCCAUGACACGGACUACCAAUACUUUGUGAUAUGCUCUCAAAGAGUCGAGUUGUUUGGGAAUGCAGCUCAAAAUGGGUGGUAUGUUCCAUCUAAAGCUAAAUAUUGGCGAGAGACCGAUAGCGAACAAGUACCGUGAGGGAAAGAUGAAAAGCACUUUGGAAAGAGAGUUAAACAGUACGUGAAAUUGUUGAAAGGGAAACRCUUGAAGUCAGUCGCGUCUUCUGGAACUCAGCCUUGCUCUUGCUUGGUGUACUUUCUAGUUGACGGGUCAACAUCAAUUUUGGUUGGUGGAUAAAGAUUGAAGGAAUGUGGCAUCUUCGGAUGUGUUAUAGCCUUUGAUCGCAUACACUGACUGGGAUUGAGGACUGCAGCACGCCUUUAUGGCCAGGGUUCGCCCAUGUAACGUGCUUAGGAUGUUGACAUAAUGGCUUUAAGUGACCCGUCUUGAACCACGGACC